rnacentral:rRNA from 1 species
AAAAAGGUAAGCUACUAAGAGCGAAUGGUGGAUGCCUUGACUGGUAAAGGCGAUGAAGGACGUACUAGACUGCGAUAAGCUACGGGGAGUUGUCAAGAAACUUUGAUCCGUAGAUUUCCGAAUGGGGCAACCCAAUGUAUAGAGAUAUACAUUACCUAUAUAGGAGCGAACGAGGGGAAUUGAAACAUCUUAGUACCCUUAGGAAAAGAAAUCAAUAGAGAUUGCGUCAGUAGCGGCGAGCGAAAGCGCAAGAGGGCAAACCCAGUGCUUGCACUGGGGGUUGUAGGACUGCAAUGUGCAAGAGGUGAGUUUAGCAAAACAUUCUGGAAAGUAUAGCCAUAGAGGGUGAUAGUCCCGUAUGCGAAAAACAAACCUUAGCUAGCAGUAUCCUGAGUAGGGCGGGACACGAGAAAUCCUGUCUGAAGCUGGGUCGACCACGAUCCAACCCUAAAUACUAAUACCAGAUCGAUAGCGUACAAGUACCGUGAGGGAAAGGUGAAAAGAACUGAGGUGAUCAGAGUGAAAUAGAACCUAAAACCAUUUGCUUACAAUCAUUCAGAGCACUAUGUAGCAAUACAGUGUGAUGGACUGCCUUUUGCAUAAUGAGCCUGCGAGUUGUGGUGUCUGGCAAGGUUAAGCAAACGCGAAGCCGUAGCGAAAGCGAGUCUGAAUAGGGCGCUUAGUCAGAUGCUGCAGACCCGAAACGAAGUGAUCUAUCCAUGAGCAAGUUGAAGCUAGUGUAAGAACUAGUGGAGGACUGAACCCAUAGGCGUUGAAAAGCCCCGGGAUGACUUGUGGAUAGGGGUGAAAGGCCAAUCAAACUUCGUGAUAGCUGGUUCUCUCCGAAAUAUAUUUAGGUAUAGCGUUGUGUCGUAGUAUAAGGGGGUAGAGCACUGAAUGGGCUAGGGCAUACACCAAUGUACCAAACCCUAUCAAACUCCAAAUACCUUAUAUGUAAUCACAGCAGUCAGGCGGCGAGUGAUAAAAUCCGUCGUCAAGAGGGAAACAACCCAGACUACCAGCUAAGGUCCCCAAAUCUUACUUAAGUGGAAAACGAUGUGAACUUACUUAAACAACCAGGAGGUUGGCUUAGAAGCAGCCAUCCUUUAAAGAAAGCGUAAUAGCUCACUGGUCUAGUGAUUUCGCGCGGAAAAUAUAACGGGGCUAAAGUAAGUACCGAAGCUGUAGACUUGCACACAACUUAGAUUAUUUAAGUUUAAAAUAUAAAACAAGUAAGUUAUAUUUUUACUGAUUUUUAUAGAAUUAAAAAUAGAAGUAAAAUUUAAGUCAUAAUAUACUUAAAGCUAAGUAGUUUAAGUUGUGUGCAAGUGGUAGGAGAGCGUUCUAUUUGCGUUGAAGGUAUACCGGUAAGGAGUGCUCGAGCGAAUAGAAGUGAGCAUGCAGGCAUGAGUAGCGAUAAUUAAUGUGAGAAUCAUUAACGCCGUAAACCCAAGGUUUCCUACGCGAUGCUCGUCAUCGUAGGGUUAGUCGGGUCCUAAGUCGAGUCCGAAAGGGGUAGACGAUGGCAAAUUGGUUAAUAUUCCAAUACCAACAUUAGUGUGCGAUGGAAGGACGCUUAGGGCUAAGGGGGCUAGCGGAUGGAAGUGCUAGUCUAAGGAUGUAGGAGCUUAUACAGGCAAAUCCGUAUAAGAAUACUCUGAGAUCUUAAAGGCUUUUUGAAGUCUUCGGAUGGAUAGAAGAACCCCUGAUGCCGUCGAGCCAAGAAAAGUUUCUAAGUUUAGCUAAUGUUGCCCGUACCGUAAACCGACACAGGUGGGUGGGAUGAGUAUUCUAAGGCGCGUGGAAGAACUCUCUUUAAGGAACUCUGCAAAAUAGCACCGUAUCUUCGGUAUAAGGUGUGGUUCGCUUCGUAUUAGGAUUUACUCCAAAAGCGAAGAAACUUACAACAAAGAGUCCCUCCCGACUGUUUACCAAAAACACAGCACUCUGCUAACUCGUAAGAGGAUGUAUAGGGUGUGACGCCUGCCCGGUGCUCGAAGGUUAAUUGAUGGGGUUAGCAUUAGCAAAGCUCUUGAUCGAAGCCCGAGUAAACGGCGGCCGUAACUAUAACGGUCCUAAGGUAGCGAAAUUCCUUGUCGGUUAAAUACCGACCUGCAUGAAUGGCGUAACGAGAUGGGAGCUGUCUCAAAGAGGGAUCCAGUGAAAUUGUAGUGGAGGUGAAAAUUCCUCCUACCCGCGGCAAGACGGAAAGACCCCGUGGACCUUUACUACAGCUUGACACUGCUAUUUGGAUAAGAAUGUGCAGGAUAGGUGGGAGGCUUUGAGUAUAUGACGCUAGUUAUAUAGGAGCCAUUGUUGAGAUACCACUCUUUCUUAUUUGGGUAGCUAACCAGCUUGAGUUAUCCUCAAGUGGGACAAUGUCUGGUGGGUAGUUUGACUGGGGCGGUCGCCUCCCAAAUAAUAACGGAGGCUUACAAAGGUUGGCUCAGAACGGUUGGAAAUCGUUCGUAGAGUAUAAAGGUAUAAGCCAGCUUAACUGCAAGACAUACAAGUCAAGCAGAGACGAAAGUCGGUCUUAGUGAUCCGGUGGUUCUGUGUGGAAGGGCCAUCGCUCAAAGGAUAAAAGGUACCCCGGGGAUAACAGGCUGAUCUCCCCCAAGAGCUCACAUCGACGGGGAGGUUUGGCACCUCGAUGUCGGCUCAUCGCAUCCUGGGGCUGGAGCAGGUCCCAAGGGUAUGGCUGUUCGCCAUUUAAAGCGGUACGCGAGCUGGGUUCAGAACGUCGUGAGACAGUUCGGUCCCUAUCUGCCGUGGGCGUAAGAAGAUUGAAGAGAUUUGACCCUAGUACGAGAGGACCGGGUUGAACAAACCACUGGUGUAGCUGUUGUUCUGCCAAGAGCAUCGCAGCGUAGCUAAGUUUGGAAAGGAUAAACGCUGAAAGCAUCUAAGCGUGAAGCCCACUCUAAGAUGAAUCUUCUCUAAGCUCUCUAGAAGACUACUAGUUUGAUAGGCUGGAUGUGUAAUGGAUGAAAGUCCUUUAGCUGACCAGUACUAAUAGAGCGUUUGGCUUAUCUUUAUAAAGCAU